UUUAUUGGGUCUAAAACAUCCGUAGCUUGUUUAGUAAGUUUCUUGUGAAAUCUGGCAUCUUAAGUGUCAGGCGGGCAGGGAGUACUACUAGGCUAGAGACCGGGAGAUGUAAGGAGUACACUUGAGGUAGUGGUUAAAUAUGUUAAUCACAAGUGGACUAACAAUUGGCGAAGGCACCUUACAAGAACGGAUCUGACAGUGAGGGAUGAAGGCCAAGGGCGCAAAACGGAUUAGAUACCCGUGUAGUCUUGGCAGUAAACACUGCUCACUAAACAUCGGGACCUCUUCGGGAGGUUUCGGUGCUGAAGCGAAGGCGAAGAGUGAGCUACCUGGGAAGUAUAGUCGCAAGAUCGAAACUUAAAGGAAUUGGCGGGGGAGCA
rnacentral:rRNA from 1 species